UACAGAGGGUGCGAGCGUUAAUCGGAAUUACUGGGCGUAAAGCGUGCGUAGGCGGUUGCGUAAGUCAGCUGUGAAAGCCCCGGGCUCAACCUGGGAAUUGCAUUUGAGACUGCUCUGCUCGGGUGCGGAAGAGGGAAGCGGAAUUUCCGGUGUAGCGGUGAAAUGCGUUGAUAUCCACAGGAACUCCGGUGGCGAAGGCGGCACGCUGGACCGUUUCUGACGCUGAGGCGCGAAAGCCAGGGGAGCGAACGGG
rnacentral:rRNA from 1 species